rnacentral:rRNA from 1 species
UUUAACUGAAGAGUUUGAUCAUGGCUCAGAUUGAACGCUGGCGGCAGGCUUAACACAUGCAAGUCGAGCGGGGGAAGGUAGCUUGCUACUGGACCUAGCGGCGGACGGGUGAGUAAUGCUUAGGAAUCUGCCUAUUAGUGGGGGACAACAUCUCGAAAGGGAUGCUAAUACCGCAUACGUCCUACGGGAGAAAGCAGGGGAUCUUCGGACCUUGCGCUAAUAGAUGAGCCUAAGUCGGAUUAGCUAGUUGGUGGGGUAAAGGCCUACCAAGGCGACGAUCUGUAGCGGGUCUGAGAGGAUGAUCCGCCACACUGGGACUGAGACACGGCCCAGACUCCUACGGGAGGCAGCAGUGGGGAAUAUUGGACAAUGGGGGGAACCCUGAUCCAGCCAUGCCGCGUGUGUGAAGAAGGCCUUAUGGUUGUAAAGCACUUUAAGCGAGGAGGAGGCUACUUUAGUUAAUACCUAGAGAUAGUGGACGUUACUCGCAGAAUAAGCACCGGCUAACUCUGUGCCAGCAGCCGCGGUAAUACAGAGGGUGCGAGCGUUAAUCGGAUUUACUGGGCGUAAAGCGUGCGUAGGCGGCUUAUUAAGUCGGAUGUGAAAUCCCCGAGCUUAACUUGGGAAUUGCAUUCGAUACUGGUGAGCUAGAGUAUGGGAGAGGAUGGUAGAAUUCCAGGUGUAGCGGUGAAAUGCGUAGAGAUCUGGAGGAAUACCGAUGGCGAAGGCAGCCAUCUGGCCUAAUACUGACGCUGAGGUACGAAAGCAUGGGGAGCAAACAGGAUUAGAUACCCUGGUAGUCCAUGCCGUAAACGAUGUCUACUAGCCGUUGGG